ACGAUGUUUCUAUUCCCUUCCACCAGCAAAUGAGGUUGCAAUAAGGAUUUGCAAUAGGGGGUCCUGGUUCUGAUUGUCUUGCUUCCUGGUGGAAGGAGCUGAAGGAAGACUUUAUUUUUCUUUUCUUUUUGUUGUAUGAACGUAGAGGCAUGGAUAAGAGGUUUUGCUGUCAGUUUUCGAGGUUGUGGGGCAUUUAGUUUAGUUGUUUUGUCCGGUGCCAUGAUUCCAUUACCCUUUUACAGUAGAGUCUCACUUAUCCAACAUAAAUGGGCCGGCAGAACGUUGGAUAAGCGAAUAUGUUGGAUAAUAAGGAGAGAUUAAGAAGAAGCCUAUUAAACAUCAAAUUAGGUUAUGAUUUUACAAAUUAAGCACCAAAACAUCAUGUUAGACAACAAAUUUGGUAGAAAAAGUAGUUCAAUACGCAGUAAUGCUAUGUAGUAAUUACUGUAUUUAUGGAUUUGGCACCAAAAUAUCACGAUAUAUUGAAAACGUUGACUACAAAAAUGCGUUGGAUAAUCCAGAACGUUGGAUAAGCGAGUGUUGGAUAAGUGAGACUCUACUGUAUAUAUAUAGAUAUAUACAGGAGGAUGGAGAACUCAUAUACUGGAUAAUGAUAUAAGAGAAGCUAGGGUUGAGGGCUAAUUAAAACCUCACCAUUCUUGGGAAGUGACUCCUCACUCAUAAAUCUAUAUAAAUAGCACCUUAGAGACCUUAGUUCACUACUUUUGACUUACUCACUUCUUCAACAGUUCCUGCUACAGCUCUGAACAAGGUAAAGGGCAUUCCAGUGUUUGUUAAUAUUUGAGGAUGCAGUGAUGGGCAUGAUUGGAGCACCUCCACAUGGCCAAGGCAACGUCCUGUUCCCAAUGCAACUGCUCUCCCUGCUGUUGCGAGCAGUGCUGUUGUAUCCCUUGCGAAUCAUGCGCUUGCUGUCCCCAUUGCGGUGUCUGUCCAUGUUCUUGCCGCAACCGACACGCCAGUUCUGAUUCCUACAGCUGUUUGUGUCAUGAAUGUGGUUAUCCUAACUGAGAUGAAUGCUGAUGAUGCCUAAGGGAAGCCUGGAAGUCAAGUGAGGAACUUGCAACCUGUUGGACAUGACACCUAGAUUUGCAUUCUAUGGGCCAACACCUUGCAUCAACAGUAUUAUUAUAUUGACAGUGGCAGCCAUUUUUGGAUCAUCAGAGGGAUGUGAGUCUUCAAUGAACUUUCCAAGGUGCUGAGCCCAACCCCAGAAGAAAUCCAGAACUUUGGAGAGCUCCUCUCAAGCAUAAGUGAGCAAGGACAGAGUAUUGACACUACGUGUUCUUCCACACCUUUGAUUGAUUUCUUUGUUGAUGCAAAAUUUAACAGUGUAUAUAGGAAACAAUAAAAUUGGUGAAAAAGA